rnacentral:rRNA from 1 species
AUUGAACGCUGGCGGCAGGCCUAACACAUGCAAGUCGAGCGGAUGAAGGGAGCUUGCUCCUGGAUUCAGCGGCGGACGGGUGAGUAAUGCCUAGGAAUCUGCCUGGUAGUGGGGGAUAACGUCCGGAAACGGGCGCUAAUACCGCAUACGUCCUGAGGGAGAAAGUGGGGGAUCUUCGGACCCCACGCUAUCAGAUGAGCCUAGGUCGGAUUAGCUAGUUGGUGGGGUAAAGGCCUACCAAGGCGACGAUCCGUAACUGGUCUGAGAGGAUGAUCAGUCACACUGGAACUGAGACACGGUCCAGACUCCUACGGGAGGCAGCAGUGGGGAAUAUUGGACAAUGGGCGAAAGCCUGAUCCAGCCAUGCCGCGUGUGUGAAGAAGGUCUUCGGAUUGUAAAGCACUUUAAGUUGGGAGGAAGGGCUGUAAGUUAAUACCUUGCUGUUUUGACGUUACCAACAGAAUAAGCACCGGCUAACUUCGUG